GGAAAAUUGAAAGAAUUCGAAAAGUGAAAUCAAUAUCAGCAUAAGUUUUAAUUAAAUGUUUUCAUCCAUAUUUACAAGUCCAUUAUUCAUCAUUUUCCACAUGUAUGUUUUGUAAAUGGUGAAUCUCAAAUGAAUCCAAGAACUUUGAGCUGUCAUUUCACUUAAUUGACUGUCUUUUCCGGUUUUAAUAAUGGUGAUAGUGCAGACAUACCAUAUUGCAAGUACUUAGCUGAGCAGCUGAGCUCUUCUUUUAUGUGGUUCCUUUCAAUUGGUUCAUUUGAGUGGAAUGCCGAGAGAUGUUGAACUUAUUCUAGAUUAACCCUUCGACAUUGUGCUACAAUUCGAAGAAGUUGAUGGUUACAGAAGAGCUUACUUUCAAUCAAUAUCAAUAAGUUGUGUAGAUGUUUUCUGUGACAUUGUUCACCUAACUAACCAGUCCAAUGUUUGUCAGUGGUUUCUCACCCACUGUAAAACUAGGAGGAUAAGAUAAGCUGUGUUAGUAAGGGGAACUUUGUAAAGCACAUGACCUAAUGAAAACUUUUGGUAAGUUAUGAAUUUAACCAAGAAACUUAUUUUGAUUUAUCAUUUUAUGUUUUAGUUAUUGUUU